GCCGUCGUGGCGCAAUGGCAGCGCAUCACCUUCCUACACUUAUUCCUAGUGAAGACAGGUGGGGGUUGCGGGUUCGACCCCCGUCGACGGUA